UGCAACUUCUUAAUUUUUAUUUUUUUUACAUAAGUACAAUUUUUAGAGAUGAUGAUUUAAAAAAAAAACAACUAAGCUGGUAUCGUCAUUAAUAUUUGCAAAAUGUCAUCCAGUUAUUUGGUUUUCUAAAUAUUUAAAAACAAUACAUUCAUUUCCCCAAAAAUUACAUUCAAAAUUUGAACUUUCUUCUCUACUAAGUUCCCUCAUGCAAGGAUGUAGGAUAUAGAUUAAGGCUGAACAGGUUCUAAAGUGACCAUCUAAGUUGUGACUUUGUCUUUUGUCAGGGUUAUUUUUUUCUGAGCUCAGUUAAUAAUGAGUUUUUGCUAAUUUUUUCAUCAUAGAUCACAGCCCAUUUAAUCAUUUUCACAGUUCUUUUAAGGUCAGAGAUAACUGGAAGUAACUUGAUAUAUAAAAACCAAGUCCAAGUUUUCAGAGUAUAGGAAGGAUCUCAAAAAAAUGAAUGAACCUUUCUGAGAAUAGGUAGGUAGAAGCAGGACCAAGAUAAGGUAUUUGUUUGCCUAGGUCUAUGUUUCCCAAUUUUAGCCUUAAACUCUAAUAACUAUCACAAAAUAAAUACCUAUAACAACCAUAGGGAAAGGAUUUUUUCUGGAAUAUAAAAUGCUAACUUGCCUUUCUUACCCCUAAACCAUCCCUUAGGGGAAUAGGAGGUAAAUGGAAAUCCAUAUGAAAUCUAAGAAAAAUAAUUCCAAAAUAUUUAUGCCUCCUAGAUUCAAGUGAAAAUGUAAAUGGAUAGCUAUUUAUGAUGAUCUUAAUGAUUAUUUAAUUUUAAUGAGGCUGCUAAACUUUAAAAAAAAAAAAGAGUAAUAGAAUGAUAGGUAACAAGCUCAUACAUCCCAAAUGAAAAUCUAUAUUAUACCACCUUGCAUAAAUCUGAAAUUUUCAAAUAAAUUUUCUACUAAAUAAUUUUGAAUCAUACAUAGCAAGUCGUAUUAUUUCAAAAUAAAUUUUUUUUAGAAAUAUAAGACAGCUGUAUAAAAAACUCUAUAUAGUACUUAAAAUCAUUUUAAAACAAUGAUAUUGAUAUAUCUAAUCACAGAUCAACAUGACGCUAAUGAAUACAGAACAAUCCUCUCAUCUAUCCCUUGUAUUAGUUAUGCUGAAGAUGUUACAUAAUUGGAAGUUACAUAAUGAUAUCCUGAUCAGUCACAUUAUUUUAAACCUCUUCAGAGUCACAUUAUUUCAAACCCCUAAUGGAAUGACCUCUUCAGAAUCACUAAAUGGAAAUGGUAAAAAUUAAAAGCUAUGGCUGAGUACUUGUCACAGGGUAUAGAAAGCUGCUAGACUCAGCAUAUCAGUUAUAAUUAAGAAGGGAAAUAUCAUGGCACAGGGAAAUCUUAGGUCUUCACUGAUCUUCCCAUUUCUGUCCUCUGCAAUUGUGGUUCUUUUCCUGCUUCCAAGAACACUUCUGCCACACUUACUUAUGCCAGUGGACUAUGUUGCCCCAUGCCCCUCAAAAUGAAGCCAUUCUGGAGACCUCUUCUACAGCAUCUUAUGGGUCUAUGACUGGGGAAUUUGUGCUUGGGCUAUCCCCUAGAGUCCAUUCUGGGCUCAAGUUGGGACUGAAGGCUCAGGAAUGGACCCAGGGCUCCUCUGCCCAGUAUGAGAUGUUGAAAAAAAUUACUAUAAGGUCUAAAGGACUUAUGGUACACCUCCUUUUUUCCUUUUCAUGAUACCAAAAAUACUGAAAUUCUUGCUAGGCUGUGGAGAGAAGGGUACCUUACCACUUGUUACUUUUAACCUCUUCUUGGAGCUUUUUUCUGAAGCACAGUUAUAUUUGAGAUUCCUAGGGUCCCAUCAUUUAGUAUUCUUCUGUGAUAAUAUAAAACGUGUGGAAAAACCAUUCUCUUUCCUUAGAAAUAUCUUCUAAAGUUAUCUAAAUCUGUGCCUUCAGAUAUAUACUAACAUGAGGAAUUUUGUUGUUUAAAAAAUUAAAAUUUUGAAUAUGCCAUUUUCCCUUGUAAAAAAGUGAGAUUUUUCAGACAGAGCUUUAAGAAUAAAAAAAGGGGAUUCCAGGUGCUUAUGCUCUAAAAAUUAUUUACAGUUAUAUCUUUUAAUCCAAUGUAUUUACUGUAACAAACAUCAUUCAUUAUUUACUAGUUUUUGUACAAAAAGAGAAAAGGAGAUAUACAUGUUACAAGUCCAACAAAGAAAUGAAAUUUCACUCCAACUAAUAUUAGCUAAGCACCUACUAUGUGCAAGGCACUAUUGAUGACAGGAAAAGGACACAAUGCCUGCCCUCAAGGAGCUUACAAUAUAGGAGAUCAUAUGGAGGAAAAAUAUGAUUUAUCAAAAGUGGUCUUUGUCCAGAGACAGAAAGGCAUUUUAAAAUCAUUAGUAAAAGAGUAUAGAUAAGCCAAGUUUCAAAAACACAAAUUCAAGCAAAGCAGGGAAUCAGAUAAUAUAUUAGGAUCCUGCCCUAACAUAGCCAAGCAUAUCCCAGAUCUGCAUCACAAUUGUCUUUUCUACCAAAAAAAAAAAAUUACUUGAUCAGAUUCUAGCACAAGAGUCUCUCCUUUACAGUGAGAGCAGGAAUCCUGUUUUCCUUGAACAACUAGGACCUUUCUUAGUACCAGUUUUCCAAGUGAUAAUGUCUAUGAGAAAGACAACUUGGAAGAUGGCACUAGAUUCAAUGAAAUGAUUCAGAAUUUGUCUGUAACCUUCACAAACAAAUGUGAUUACUUUUCUGAUUUCAGAAAAUCUGGCCACCUUGUCUAGCAAAUUGUCACUUCAAGAACCAAAAGAGCAAAAAUAAGACUUGUUUCUAGACUUGAAUAGGAAAAAAAUAGGACUCCAUUACUUGGGCAGAUAUCCAAUUCUCAUGAAAUUCAAUUAUACAUAAUAAACAUUAUUUAUCCUUUAAUUUGUGGUAGUACAAUUGGAGAGAGAAAGAAAGGGAGAGCAGUAGGGAGGGAUGAAGGAAGAGGGGAUUAAUAGGCAUUAGUAAUAUUGCAUCAGGAUUUGGUGUGCAAAGACAAAAGUAUUAUUGACUAUAGCAAUGCCUCCCCUUUGCCCCCGCCAUGUCAAAUCUCUGAGAAAUGACAACAGGGGCCUCUAUGAGUUUGGCCACAGUCAGUUCAAAUCCCAUAGAAAGUUAUCUCUAGCUACUUUAGUAUAAAACUAUCAGAAACAAGAUUCUCCAGAGAUAUGAGUUGUCCAUUUUUGGAAGAGAUCCAGAACUAAAAUACAUUGAUACCUUGACUACCUUCCUUAAAUCCAUUAUUUGUAUAGAAUAAAUUUAAAUAGAAGUGCUAUAGUUUAACAGAAGAAACAAAUUCACAAUCAGCAAAACAAAUAAGCAAAAGCCCCUGUUAAAUGGGCAAAUCCUGGCAAAGGGGAAAUGAGGGAGGUGGUGAUGAUGAUGAGGGUUGAACAUCAGUUUCAGGCACAAAACUCAUUCUUAUCACACUGUGAAAACUAAAAUGAUGCUUAAAUGAUUGGGAGUGGGAGCAGCGAAGGACUCUACCCUCUUCUCUCCAAAAUCCUCACCAAGCAGAAGAUCAGAAAAUUAAAUAAGCUUUCUCUGCUCUUUUCUUAGAAGGAGAAGGGGCUAAGAGAGGGCCCCUGCUAACUCCAUGGAUCUGCUCCUGCCAUGCUUUAGGCCAGACAUGUAGGUUAACUAUCACAAGGCACAUGUGCAAAGAUGAAAUACUACAAAACAAAUUUGAGAGAUCUGCCCUAACUACCAAAACAGAUAAAAAAAAAGUGCUCAUAAAGUAGAGGUAUCAUCCUCUUGUUCCUACUAAGAACUGUUCUGGUUUUUCCAUCAACAGCCAGGCUCAGAGAUGCUUAAAACAAAAUAUGUUUGUUAGAACGUUGAUGCAAGGUGACAAAAUGCUCAGUGAGAUCAUGAGCAAGAGGCAAAAAACAGUAAGCUAUAUGUUCUCAAAAAUGAGAUUGUGAUUGAUUCUGUGAUGACAGCCAAAGUGGUGGAGCAUUGCUUCUCUACUUACCAACAAACCAGUUAUGUUUAAGUCAGUAAGUAAUUUGAUGGAUGGAACGAAAUUAUUGCUCCA
rnacentral:lncRNA from 1 species